CCCUUAGAUGUUCUGGGCCGCACACGCGCUACACUGAAGGAGGCAGCGUGUACUCCUGGAUCGAAAGAUUUGGGUAACCCGCGAAUCUCCUUCGUGCUAGGGAUUGAGGUUUGCAAUUAUCCUUCAUGAACGAGGAAUUCCCAGUAAGUGCAAGUCAUAAGCUUGCGCUGACUAUGUCCCUGCCCUUUGUACACACCGCCCGUCGCUACUACCGAUUGAAUGAUUUAGUGAGGACUUCGGACUGGGACCGAUGCGGCUUUCGGGCUGCGUCGGUAUUCUGGAAAGAUGUCCAAACUGUAUCAUUUAGAGGAAGUAAAAGUCGUANCA
rnacentral:rRNA from 1 species